UACGAAGGGGGCUAGCGUUGUUCGGAAUUACUGGGCGUAAAGCGCGUGUAGGCGGGUCUUUAAGUCAGGGGUGAAAUGCCAGGGCUCAACCUCGGAACUGCCUUUGAUACUGGAGACCUUGAGUCCGGGAGAGGUGAGUGGAAUUGCGAGUGUAGCGGUGGAAUGCGCAGAUAUCAGGAGGAACACCAAUAGCGAAGGCAGCUCGCUGGGACGUUACUGACACUGAGGCGCGAAAGCGUGGGGAGCGAACAGG
rnacentral:rRNA from 1 species